CAUCAAUCAUCCAGGUAAUAAUAUGACCCAGCCGCCUUCUGCUCUCUAUCCUUGGUAGAGUCCAAUUUAUUGAUUCUUGGUCGAUAAUUGGUUGGGUCCCGCCUAAAAGUGAUAUCUAGAUGUGAUAAGAAGAGAUUCAUUCCAGUCAACAAUGACUGAGGCGAAUUUGCUGCACAAUCCACAGAUGGCCUCCCCUCAUAUACAAUAACUCUAUCAGCAAGGUAAGUUGCCAUUAUAAAAUCAUGCUCCACCACGAAUGCUGUUUUCUUCGCGUGAAGGAUAAACCUCUUUAUGACUUUUGAAGCAAC
rnacentral:misc_RNA from 1 species